GACGAACGCUGGCGGCGUGCUUAACACAUGCAAGUCGAACGGAAAGGCCCUGCUUUUGUGGGGUGCUCGAGUGGCGAACGGGUGAGUAACACGUGAGUAACCUGCCCUUGACUUUGGGAUAACUUCAGGAAACUGGGGCUAAUACCGGAUAGGAGCUCCCGCUGCAUGGUGGGGGUGGGAAAGUUUCGGCGGUUGGGGAUGGACGCGCGGCUUAUCAGCUUGUUGGUGGGGUAGUGGCUUACCAAGGCUGUGACGGGUAGCCGGCCUGAGAGGGUGACCGGCCACAAUGGGACUGAGAUACGGCCCAGAGUCCUACGGGAGGCAGCAGUGGGGAACAUUGCACAAUGGUCGGAAGCGUGAUGCAGCAACGCCGCGUGCGGGAAGACGGCCUUCGGGUUGUAAACCGCUUUCGCCUAUGACGAAGCGUGAGUGACGGUACUGGAUGAAGAAGCACCGGCUAACUACGUG
rnacentral:rRNA from 1 species